rnacentral:lncRNA from 1 species
GUUUCAGAGAUAUAAGCCAAAAUCUACAUUUCACCCCUUCGUUCUAAUUUUAGCCAUGGCGGCCAUCUUGGUUGGUUGGCCAAAUCACGCCACAAUUUUUUUAAACUAGAUACCCCAAAGAUGAUUGUGGACAAGUUUGGAUUAAUUUGGCCCAGUAGUUUCAGAGGAGAAGAUUUUUGUAAUAGAUUACUAAGAUUUACGAAAAAUGGUUAAAAAUUUACUAUAAAGGACAAUAACUCCUAAAGGGGUCAACUGACCAUUUUGGUCAUGUUGACUU